CAGUCGCCGCGGUAAUACGUAGGUGGCAAGCGUUGUCCGGAAUUAUUGGGCGUAAAGCGCGCGCAGGUGGUUUAAUAAGUCUGAUGUGAAAGCCCACGGCUCAACCGUGGAGGGUCAUUGGAAACUGUUAAACUUGAGUGCAGGAGAGAAAAGUGGAAUUCCUAGUGUAGCGGUGAAGUGCGUAGAGAUUAGGAGGAACACCAGUGGCGAAGGCGGCUUUUUGGCCUGUAACUGACACUGAGGCGCGAAAGCGUGGGGAGCAAACAGGAUUAGAUACCCGAGUAGUCCCUGUCUCUUAUAC
rnacentral:rRNA from 1 species